rnacentral:misc_RNA from 1 species
UCAGAUUUAGAGGGCUUUUUGUGCCCACCUUUCAUAAUUUUCUUCAACAUUUCUCAAUGCAAACAAACCCAAACCCUAAAUUUUGAGCUGGGAAUUACCGGAAUGAAAUCGGGCGGUGAUGGUGGUUUUGCUCGGUGGAAUUUCAAUGGAUCAAUCGGCAUGCACGGAAUAAUAGCCACCCUCGGGAGUGGAUCGAAUCAAAUGAUUGAUCAAGCCAUAACAAAUCAAAAGCAAAUGGAUCUAAGAUAAGAAUUGGAUAGAAAAUUUACCAAUUUGCGAACCGAAACGCAGUAGAAAUUGUCCUUACGCGAAUCCAAAGAGCAAGUCAUUUGAAAUCAAUCGCUGGAAUCCCUGUCAGGUUACUGGACGGCGGAGAUUAAUCCGAUUUAGACACCGUGAAGAGGAAAGAAAGAGAAAUAGCAAACAAGAGAAAUGUUAGAGAGAGAGGGAGAUAAUUUAGAGCGACAAGGAC